rnacentral:misc_RNA from 1 species
AUUGUUUUUUUUCCGAACGAAACGAAGGUGUUGUCGUCUGCUGCUGUCUGCUAAGUGCUUAUGUGAUUUUAGUGCUCAGACCUACCAGCGUUUUCAAGUUUCAAAAUGAGCAACGGGAAUGUGUUGAUCGUUCUAGGAAAAAAUGGAAGUAAAAAAUUUGAACUACAAGUUACCUUUCAAACUACCGUUGGCGAAUUGUGUGCUGAAAUCGAAAAAGAAACGGAUAUACCUGUUAACUGUCAAAGAGUUAUUUACAACGGACGAGCUCUAAAUAAUCACGCUGAAGACAUGCAAAAAGACCUACAUAAUCUAGGGUUAAAAUCCCCUGCCAAAGUGCUAGUGCUUGGUAAGAAACCAGAUGAAGAGGAUGAAAAUUACAAAUUGAUGAAGAAAUGGGAGAUUUCUUGUGAUUCAGUCACAAAUCAAGUUAGUAGUAUUGAAAAAGACAUCCUUGAAAUGGAAAGGGGGUUUGCUCCUAAGGAAUUGUUUGACAAUCUACCAAAAGUUGAAAAAAAGAUAAACUGUCUAGCAGAAGAAUUAAUGAAGAUUUUGAUAUCCCUUGAUGCACUAAGUUUCAAAGAAGACCAGAAAGUGGCUAGGGCAAAAAGGAAAUGUAUAAUUGAUAAAAUUCAUUCGUUGCAUAGAAAAUGUGAUGAAAUGGUUGCUUCAGUGAAGCAGUUGCAAAGUACAAAAUCUUAAUGAUGGGUUAAGUAAUCUAAAUACGGAAAUAUAUAAAAUGUUUAAUAUUCUGCCUUAUUAAUACUUAUAACUAUAUAUUACUAUGUAAGCAAAUGUUGUGGAUUGUAAUUACAUUUUGAUAGAAUGGUUAAAAGUGAAAGUGACUCAACGCGCGCGUGUUAAACAUUUUCAACUGUAAGUGGUAAACGUCCAGCUGUUGGGCCUGAACGUCCAAAAUAGUAAUAAUACAAUGAAUGUAUUUAAUGUGACUUGAUCUCCAUGGCCUAGGUCAAUGCUUUGGCAUAUUCUUUUUGUUUUGACUGGCGUUUUAGCUGAAUGGAGGAUAGUUUUCUUUUUAUAACUAAAAAUUGGUAAUGUACACAGGUUUUCAAGUCGUUCGAGUUCGAGUCAUCAUCAUGAAAAUGUGGAUUAAAUUGAACUUGUGUCUUGCCGUAACUAUAGAUGGCUAUUCGAAAUCUGUCAGUGAGUCAGUCACAUAGAUGGGACUGGGAGAGGUGUAGAACAAACAACAAAUGCCGAAAUUUAUUUCCUGCUGCUGUUAACUUAUUUUAUUGACCUUUGUGUCCACAAAAUAUAUAGGUGAAACUGUAACUUUCAUAAUCUAAUCACCAUAGUUGAUACUUACACUUCAUCCCUGUAUUCUAGUCGAUUCGUCUAGUAUUCUACAUAAUGUGUGCAAGAAGCUUGUCCUUGUCUGCUGUCAUCUCAAGAUCUCAUUUAGGUAUUGCAUCAUAGCUGGGUAUUGACUUCACAACCAGAUUCUUUGCCAUUUGCAAUUGGAAAGAUCAGUUUAGGGUAUUACAGUCGGAUGUUACAUUUGCUUCUGUGUUUGAAGUUUUUUUUUUCCAGUCGAGUUUUUACGGUGCACAUUUAGCCACGGUUUGAUUUUUAAGUCUUAAGUCUGUAACUUAACUACUUAAGAAUGAUUGUGUAUUAUUAUAAUUAUUCUUUGUUAUUAUGGUUAAUACACGCAUUUUUUAAUCUA